ensembl:misc_RNA Vault Vault RNA
GGGCUGGCUUUAGCCCAGCGGUUCCUUCCAGUCUGGCUUCCCAAGGGGUCCCGUGGUUCGAGAACGGCGGGCGCUCUCCAGUCCUUUA